AAAAUUAGUAAAAAAAUCUUAAUAUAGAUUAAAAACUUUAAAGAUCAUCAAAUAAUCAUACAGUAGCAUAAUUUUCUUGGACCCUUGUGACACGCCCCCCGUGCGGAAAAAAAAACAGAAGCGAAAUUGGAUACUCCCCAUUCUCCAAUCUCUAGCUCUCACUAUCUUCCUCCCCUUGCCCUUCGUCUCCACCACCCCGCAAGGUCCUGCUGCCCCUCCCCUGUGACGCCGCCGCUCCCCCGCUCGUCGACGUAGGAUGAGGGCGUCGUAUCCACCGGAUACGUGGUCGUGGCCACCUCGCCUUCGAGGUCUCCGCAACACUGGCCUCCUCCUCCCGCGGGACAAGCAGGCGUACUGGAGCGAGAACCGAGGAACGCCGGGCCGCACCGGUCUAUGCCCCUCCGCUGCCAGUCCGUCCGUUCUCCGUCGCCGAUGGUCCUCGCCCAUCCUCUCGCCCUGCGGCUCGGAGCCGCGGCAUUGCGCGACGGUGCACGCGAAGUCAGGCUUCGAGGUAUGAAGAUAUGUUCGAUGAAGACGACGUUAGCGAGGUUACCCUUCCGGCUUGGCCUGGGCAGGGUUAUGGACGCCACUUGUUAUCUUUAGGACUCUUAGUCCAAUUUGUAUCUUGUCCGUACUCGGAUGUAUUCGAUCUUCUGUAUGAUUUGGAUCUUUGUAUUGUAUAUUUGUAUCUUGACUCGUUGGAGUCGUUGUUGUAAUAUGUAUGUAUCUUGUGGCUCUAUUGUAAUCCUGUUGUAAUGUUA